GGAGCUCACAGUCUAAUGGAGACAACAUGUGAACAAGUCAUGGCAAUAGGAAGUCACAGAAGCUACCGCAAGGACCACCACCUCCCACUAUUAACCACCUGCCACCAGUGGGUGAGGACCACAGCCCCUGCCUUCCCAGCAGCCACAAAUACCGAAGACCCAGAAAAUAAAGUUCUUGCCAUCAAUGUCUGUGGCGCUUUCAAGUGGUUCAACAUUAGAAACGGAUGGUUUUAUUGGUGGAAGUGAUGUUAAAGAUGGUGCUUUACUAUUUGCUUUGCAGCUGCACCCUAAGGACCAUGGGACUUUUCCAUCUGACUUACAGCUAAAAUCUCCUGUAUGUGUUGUCUUCCCCAUUAGAAUGUGAGGUCCUUGAGAGCACAAAUUGUCAUCAGUUUUCUGUUUGUGUCCACAAUCCUUUCAUAUAACAAGUACUUAAUAAAUGCUUUUUCAUUUGUG